GGGCGUAAAGCGCGUGUAGGCGGUCUUCUAAGUCUGAUGUGAAAGCCCUGGGCUCAACCCAGGAAGUGCAUUGGAUACUGGGAGACUUGAAUACGGGAGAGGGUAGUGGAAUUCCUAGUGUAGGAGUGAAAUCCGUAGAUAUUAGGAGGAACACCGGUGGCGAAGGCGGCUACCUGGACCGAUAUUGACGCUGAGACGCGAAAGCGUGGGGAGCAAACAGGAUUAGAUACCCUGGUAGUCCACGCCGUAAACGAUGAGAACUAGGUGUCGCGGGUAA
rnacentral:rRNA from 1 species